UGGGCCUCCCAAAGUGCUGGGAUUACAGGCGUGAGCCACCGCGCCUGGCCCUGUUUUACUUUAUUGAUAGUCAUGAAGAUGGGGUGUGACCUCAUUUAGUGGGUGGAGGCCUGGAAUACUAGAGGGCCCACAAUGCAGAAGACGAUCUUGUGGAACUUUUCAAUGUCCCACCAGACAGUUAUGCAGGUGACAAACUUGUUUAUAAUUUUCUGAGCCUGGAACCCAACUCCACUUUUACAUAUAACUACAAAUUAUUUACAGUUAGGAUGGAGAAUCACUCUUCUAGCACAUAAUUAGGGGUUCUAGGAAUGUCUGGUGUCAGCCAGGAAAGGGUCCAAGCUCUGAAACGAAAUCAUCAGGCUUUGAAAUUGGGCUCUUCCAUUUACCAAUCUGUGCCUCAGUUUCCUCCUCUGUCAAAUGGGGCUCACAACAGCACCUGCUUCAUGAGAUGUGAGAAUUAAAUUAAUGCAUAUUAAGCCCUUAGAACAGUGCCAGUUGUUUCUCACCUUGUGACAACGAAAGAAAUAUUAGAAAAAUAUUCAGUAUAAUCCCAUUCCUCUGAAACAGCAUCCAAAUGUCACCUGUUAGUAACAUCUCUAAGAUGAGAGAAUGUUCUAAUUUAACACUGCUAUUUUCCUUCAAGGUGGCAAACAACAAUCAUUCACAUUUUUACAUCUUUUAGUAGAGUUCUUGAUUUAGUAAAAAUCAGACUUAGGUCAAGUUGGACAUUACUGAACUGCUGGCCACACUGCAAGCCCAGGUUAGAGCUGGAGUCAGUCCCAGAGAGACUGGAAGGAGAAAGUAUCCCACACUCAUUUUAAAGUAAAUAAAAAGAUUCUCAAGUAUAUUUCUCCAUCUUUCAAUAUUUUGAGCAUUUUCAGACACUUAGAGAGUGUGAGCAAAAAUAUUUAAUCUUUAAGUUAACAGAGGGGCUUAAAAACAAUAAGAUACUGCAGCAAUCUGAGGACUGAGGGGCUUCAGGAUGACUUUAAGAAGAGACUUCUGCAGAGCUCAGAUGCUCGAUACGCAAAGGAAAUCUGUCGGAGCGGCGUCCAGCUAGCUCCGUGCGUGCACAGACACUUGAGCAUUAUUUUCCUGGCACUCAGCAAUUCAUUCCCCAGACCUGAGAACAUCAUCUAAAUCUUAAUUGACGCCAUAGCUACACUUGACUGGGAGAGGAAGACGAGUCCAGGCUCCAUAUAGCAUGAUAUGGAGCUGGAGAGGAGGGGAGAGGAGAACAGAAGGCAAGGUGGGAAAGGACACCUGGCAGAGACAACAUCUGGAUCCUGAACCUGGAGGAGAAAUCCACUUAUAUCUCACUUUAGAUUUGCCAGCUGCUUUUAUUUUUAUUUGGACUUACAGAAAGGUUGAGAAGAAAAUACGGGAGUGAACUGUAGCAAUAAACGGUUUGUGGGUAAUUUUGGUACUUUAAUGUGGCUUCUAAAAUGUGUACUACAUGACUUAGGAAGGAAUAUUUAAGGAGCCCAGCUGCACUAACGUGGGUUGCUAUUGUGUUAUUACUAAAAUAGCUGAGAGAGACUCUCUGUGCAGUCACCCUAAGUGAGUUAUUUUGAGUGAGUUGCUAUGGUGGUAUGACCUGCAUGUAUGACUAAACAUACAAAAAAGCCAAAAGGCCAGAAAUGAAGUGUCAGCUAUGAAGAUGCUAGUGAUAAAAGCCUACCCCAAAGCAAUGACAGAUACUUUGAAAAUACUUUGAGGGAAUAAAGCACUCUUAGGGAACACAGGGUUUGAAGUAGGACUGUGUUGUUAUUAUUGAGUUAUUUUCCAAUAAUUUUCGAGAGUCUGCCACAGCUUUGAGGCCAGUCUUUUAUAUCAUUGCCCAGGCAGGGGCUCCAUAGCUCAGGGGUUAGAGCACUGCUCUUGUAGUAUCAUUGCCCUACACAAGUGAAUUUGGGUAAAAAGGAAAACAGAAGGAACUUUAACAGGCAAGUAUGGAGACUGAAGUUCCACAGUAGCCCCUAGCACCAAAUAAAAGUACAACAGGUCUCAAUCAUCACUUCCAGGCAUUGAGAGAAGAAGUGCGAUUUUUGAGUCUUGACUUUUGGAAUCUGCAAGAGUAAGUAAAUGGCUCUCUGUGUCUGUCUGGUGCCUAGGGCCAGCUCUCUCCUCUGACACUGUCCUCAUUAGCAUGCUAGGUGAGCAUGACAACUCCGCUAGUCAGAUAUCACUACAUCCUCAACUUCACAGAGGUGGUCUCUCAUCUACCAUAUUUUCUGAACACCAAUUCACAGUGCAGUACUGGGCAAGCUACAUAAAAAUUUCCUGCGAAGUUUGUAACAUUUUUUUAAAGCUAAAAAUUAGAGAUUCUGAUUCUGGCCUGAACCUUGGGAAUGUGUAUUUUUUAAAAGUUUCCCGAGUGAUUUUCAUGGGGAAUUAGUUUAAAAAACACUGGUAUAGACUUUCCACUUUGGAAUUUAAUCAGGUUGUGUUUUUUUAAAUUUCACCUAUUGCUGUGUUGGGGCUACUUACCUAGAUGUGAGGGCUAUAUGACCCCACCCCUAUCAACAGCACUCCAAAUACUGACCAAAUGAAUGAAUGAAUGAAUGAAUGAGGUUGCAUUCGGAGUCAGAGGACCAAAAGGAAGAAUGUCUUCUUCAUGGUAUGGUCCCCACAUUACUUGGAAAAGAAUUAUAAAUCCCUCUUUCUAAAGAAAGAAAAAAAGAGAAAGGCAGGCAGGCAGGCAAAAAGGAGUGAAGGAAGGAAAGAAGAAAGGAAGGGAGGGAGGGAGGGAAGAGAGAGAGAGGCAGGAGGGAAAGGAAAGAGGGAGGAAUUUCAUAAAUAUUUACAUAAAAUCAUCUUUGUUCCUGGGAGCUGAGCCAUAAAUCUCUGAAGAGACCAUUGGAUCAGUAAGGCCUGGGAGCUGUGAGUACAGUGAUAGCUGUUAGCUCUGGCCCACUCUUGAGUGAGCUGAACGUUUGAGCUAUGAGGGCAUCCUUCCCCCACAAAAUUUCCCCAGUGAGGAGCUCGUGCACCCCAUCUGUGCAUCAGCCCCACUGACAAACUUUCCUGUCCGCCAUCCCUGGUCCAUAUGGCUCAACUGGGACUCCUCUCCUGGCGGUCACCAUAGUCCCCCCUUAAAAGUUUGAAGGUAGCUCAGAUUCCAUCUAUCAGGGUGAAAACCCUGUGUCUUGCUCAGGAAUAUUCUUCCUCGUCAGCUGUAAGAAAAGAAACAAAAAUUAAUAUUUACGUCCACAUGCUGUUUCUUUCCAUCCACCCCACCCUGAGUCACCUUUGGACUUGACC
rnacentral:lncRNA from 1 species